rnacentral:rRNA from 1 species
UACGUAGGGAGCAAGCGUUGUCCGGAAUCAUUGGGCGUAAAGCGCGCGUAGGCGGCCUCGUAAGUCCGUUGUGAAAGUCAAAGGCUCAACCUUUGAAAGCCGAUGGAUACUGCGGGGCUAGAGUCCGGAAGAGGCGAGUGGAAUUCCUGGUGUAGCGGUGGAAUGCGCAGAUAUCAGGAGGAACACCAAUAGCGAAGGCAGCUCGCUGGGACGGUACUGACGCUAAGGCGCGAAAGCGUGGGGAGCGAACAGG